AAAAAACUGAGAGAUCUGCAGCAAACUGAAGCUCAGCAGGACAAACUGAAGAAGUUCUAUUUAUUACAGAAGCAGAAAAAUUGGAGAUCUGAUUGUAAUUGCGUUUAUUUUUCGUCAGAAGCUGGAAGCUUGAUCUGAAAUCUGGAGUUUCUGAGCUGCUGUUUGGAUCAGCAGGAGGAUAAAGAAACACUUGGAGGGAGUUUACCUGUUUCUGCAUCACACAGGUGGAAGAAGCUGCUGGAGUUUCAUCAAAGAGGACUGAGGAACCUGUAAAGAUCAGACGGUUAUUGGGUUUGUGCUUCAGUGUGGUCUAUAAUCCAGGAGGGGAGGAUGUGUCGGCUGAGCCUCAGUCUGGCUGUACCCAUCACCUUUCCAGGGAAAAAGCCUCGUCAACACGAUUUAUUUUUGCUCCCAUCAAUGGAAACAGCCUCUGCUGGGUGUGUGUUUCCUACAUGAGUGGGACGUCUUCUUCUUCUGUGGUGGUCCGGUGGAAGUGUCCUGGGGUCCUGAGAAGAGCCAACGACUGAAAUAGAGAAGUUAUUCUGACGUUCUUGGCCUUCUGCUGAGUCUCCAAUUUACUACAGAACCCGAACGCUCCUCCAAACCCACCAUCAGGUUUUUCUCAUUUCGUUUGCUGUGUUUCUUGUCUUUUCCGUUGGUGUUUUGUAGCCGAUUUCUCACUCUAUUUGUAUUUUUCUCACCUCCUCCACACCCUGGAUGGAGCCUUUCCUCGGGCUACAACCACACCAAUAAAUUCUCUUUUUAAAAUGCA
ensembl:lncRNA